CCAAACGACUCUCGGCAAUGGAUAUCUCGGCUCUCGCAUCGAUGAAGAACGUAGCGAAAUGCGAUACUUGGUGUGAAUUGCAGAAUCCCAUGAACCAUCGAGUUUUUGAACGCAAGUUGCGCCCGAAGCCAUCAGGCCAAGGGCACGUUUGCCUGGACGUCACGC
rnacentral:rRNA from 1 species